UGUAUGUUUAUCAAACGGCGUGUACCAGCACUAUCUUCGCGAACAUCCCGACACGCCGUACCGGUUCGCGGUGAGACGGCACUAUCUGUGCGAGCAGUGCGGCAAGACUUCCAAGUCCCCGGGCUUGCUCCAGCAACACGGGCUCAUCCACCUCGGGCUGCGGCCCCCGGCCGCCAAGAAGCCCCCGGGCCGCAACUCGUGCCGCCUGUGCGGGAAAACGUACAGCAAGCUCAGCGGACUCUUUAGACACAAGCUGACACACCUAGGCGUCCGUCGGCACAAAUGUCAUAUCUGCGAGAAGGCGUUCACGGACACGUCUAACCUAAAGCAGCACGUGCAGGGCGUGCAUCUCAACAUACGAAGGAUAAGGAAGCGAUAAUACAGUGUUUGCAGGUGUAUGUUUUAUUGUACCAACUUGAAGCGAAAAUACAGUGUUUGCAGA